GAUGAAGAACGUAGCGAAAUGCGAUAAGUAAUGUGAAUUGCAGAAUUCAGUGAAUCAUCGAAUCUUUGAACGCACAUUGCGCCCCUCGGCACUCCGGGGGGCAUGCCUGUCCGAGCGUCAUUGCACCCCUCGAGCCCCCCGUGGCUUGGUCGUGAGCCGCGCCCGCGCCAGCCCCGUCCCCCCCCGUGCAGCAGGGGGCAGGGGCGCCGGGCGGGCUCGAAACGCAGUGGCGGCCCCCGGGCGACUUCCAGCGCGAUGACAUGUUUCGCUGCCGAAGCCUUCGCCCCGGGCGCCCGCCAGGCAACCCCCGUGCUUCUUACGCGGUUGACCUCGGAUCAGGCAGGGAUACCCGCUGAACUUAAGCAUAUCAAUAAGCGGAGGA
rnacentral:misc_RNA from 1 species